ensembl:lncRNA
GGAGCGAACAAUGUACCAGGCCAGCUGUGAUUUACAACCUGACAGCAAUAUGUUUUGGACUACCAAGAAAUGUAUUGGUGAAUUAUAUUAAUCAUGCAUUGAACUGCAUCCAUCUAUUCUGCCAACAAUGCCUUACUCUAUGUCAUGGAACGUUGAGUCAAAUUUAAACUAUUUUAAAAAUAUCAUAUGAAGUUGGUUUUGUAGCAUAAACUAUUUUUGACUGAUAUUAUGAUUGUCUGUUUGUUUUAUAUCUGCAAAGUAGUUAAAACGCUGCCAGUUCCACUUUACACUUUAGGUCAACGGUGCUAAACGUGAAAUGUUUUUGGCAAUGGGAGGUAAUAGUUGUCAAUUUUGAUUGGGAAAUGCUUAAUGGUUGUGUUUUUGUAUUCUUAUGAUGGGGAACUAAUGUUUUAUUAUGUCCGAGUUUAUUGACUACUUAUACUUUAACGUCAUGCUGUGUGUGACUGCUGUCCUUCCAUCAGCCCUAUGCAGUGGUGUGGUGGUGCCUGGAGAAGUGGGAAUACUCACAUUUAGCUAAAAAAGUUCCCAAACGGCACGCCUAGCGAAGGAAAGGCACCUGUGUGAAAAACCCUGUUUCCCACGUUAAAUGAGUUUCCCAUAGAUUUAGCAGAUUUUCACUCUCAAAAUCACACCUAUUUAAAAAAAAAUGAAAAUAUACUAAAAUGUGAUGUUCUAAGUCCACAACAAUGCUUCAACCACAUCAAUCUGAUUGGGUGGGCCUGUCAGGGCCUGGCUCCCCAUUGGGUGGGCCUUAGUCCACCCAGGCUCAUCCAUGUCUAGCCUACUAACCAACACUGUGGAUUAAACUUUUUUCAAUACCUGGUUUGCAUACCCAUUGUUGCCUUAGUUAUCAUUUACUAGUAGAAAGUUGAAACGUCUUACCUACCCUACCGGCUACCGAUGGCAUUGUUCUGUGAGCUGCUCCAUGCCAAAACACCUUGAGAGCUGCACACUUUUGCUGCCAGCAGAUAAUAUUCCGCUAAAACUAGGCUGUGUGUGCUGUGCGCAUGUGAAUAUAUUUCAUGUACUUUGCGAUUGUGUGGGCUACUUUGUGCAUGAUUUCUCUAUUGUACUAUGUAAUUGAUAAGACGUAUACCUCCACUACACUGCUAGGAUACGCAUCAGUAGGGAUUAAGAAGUCAGUAUACGCAAUGCCCACUGAAAAAAAGUGUAUAUACAGUUUAUACCCGUGUAUAGCCUUCCCUACACCACCGGCCCUUUGUGUUUUAUAAAAAAGUCCACCCUCCUACAUGAGUGUGAUGUUAUUGCAGUUGCUGUCCUUUCAGAAAUACCAACCUGUCACACACUGAAGUCCUAUAGGUUCACCACUGUACUGACCUGUCACACACUGAAGACCUAUAGGUUCACCACUGUACUAACCUGUCACACUGAAGUCCUAUAGGUUCACCACUGUACUAACCUGUCACACACUGAAGACCUAUAGGUUCACCACUGUACUAACCUGUCACACACUGAAGACCUAUAGGUUCACCACUGUACUAACCUGUCACACUGAAGACCUA